UAAUACGUAUGGGGCAAGCGUUGUUCGGAGUUAUUGGGCGUAAAGGGCGUGUAGGCGGCUCAUCAAGUCUGGUGUGAAAACGCAAGGCUUAACCUUGCGUAGGCACUGGAAACUGGUGGGCUGGAGUUCUUGAGGGGAAGCUGGAAUUCCAGGUGUAGGGGUGAAAUCUGUAGAUAUCUGGAAGAACACCGGUGGCGAAGGCGAGCUUCUAUCAGAGGACUGACGCUGAGGCGCGAAAGCGUGGGGAGCAAACAGG
rnacentral:rRNA from 1 species